rnacentral:rRNA from 1 species
UAAAUUUUAUUUAUUAAUUUUAUUUAUUUAAGUAUUAUAUUUAAUAAAAAUAAUUUUAAUUCAAUAUAGUUUUAGUAUUUUUUAAAGAAAUAAUAAUUUUAAUAAUAGUUUAUUUGUAUUGUAAAAGAAGAUUGAAAUAAUUUGAAAAAUUUUUAUUUUAAAAGAAAAUUUAAUUUAUUGUACCUUGUGCAUCAGGGUUUAUUAAUUAAUUAAUUAUUAUAGUAAUUUUUCUCGAAUUUUAAAGAUUUAAUUAUAUAUAAAAGUUAUUGUGGAAUAAUUAUUUUUAAUAUAUAAUUAGAAAUGAAAUGUUAAUCGUUUUAAAAUAUAUCUAGUUUUUUAAGAAAUAAAUUUAAUUUAGAUUUAUAAAUUAAAAGUAUUAUUUAUUUAAUAUUUUUAAUUUAUAAAAUUAAUAUUUUAAGGGAUUAGCUUUAAAAUAAAUUUUUAAAUUUUAAAAAAGUAUUUAAUAAAUGUAAGCUUAAAAAUAGUUAUCAUUAAUAAAUUUGUUAUAAUUUAUUUUAAAUUUUUUAUUAUUUAUUAUAAAAUUAAAUUAUUUAUUAAAAUAUAAAUUUUAAUAUUAAUGAUUUAUAAAUUAUGGUAAAAUUAGUAUAUUUAAUUUAUAUAAAUUAUUUAAAUUGAGAGGUUUAAAUAAGGAAUUCGGCAAAUUAUAUAUUCACCUGUUUAUCAAAAACAUGUCUUUUUGUAUUUAAUUUAAAGUCUAACCUGCCCACUGAUAGAUAUUAAAGGGCCGCAGUAUUUUGACUGUGCGAAGGUAGCAUAAUCAGUAGUCUUUUAAUUGAAGGCUUGUAUGAAUGGUUGAAUGAGAUAUAUACUGUCUUUUUUAAAUUUUUAUAGAAUUUUAUUUUUUAAUUAAAAAGUUAAAAUAUAAUUAAAAGACGAGAAGACCCUAUAGAUCUUUAUUUUUUUUAAUUAUAAGUUAAAAAGAAUAAUUAAAUUUAUAGUUUUAUAAAAAAUUUUACUGGGGUGGUAUUAAAAUUUAAUUAACUUUUAUUAUUUGUUUACAUUAAUAUAUGUAUAUUUGAUCCAAUUUUAUUGAUUAAAAAAUUAAGUUACCUUAGGGAUAACAGCGUAAUUUUUUUUUAGAGUUCUUAUCGACAAAAAAGAUUGCGACCUCGAUGUUGGAUUAAGAAUUAUUUUUAGGUGUAGAAGUUUAAAGUUUAGGUCUGUUCGACCUUUGAAUUCUUACAUGAUCUGAGUUCAAACCGGCGUAAGCCAGGUUGGUUUCUAUCUUUAAUAAAUUAUUAUAUUAUAGUACGAAAGGACCUAAUAUAAAAAAUAUAAAUUUUAAAUUUAUGAAUUAUAUUAAUAUUUAAUAA